AGAAGGAGGAGUAAAAGGAGGGGUUGGUCUUGCUGCAUCAGGAGUGGUGGAGGCAGAAGAAAAUAAGUGGACCUGAGCAGUUCAAACCUGUGUUGUUCGAGAGUCAACAGCUACAGAGCAAUCUGAACACUACAUAUGCUGAGAAUUCUCAAGAGAUGAAUAAAUAGCUGUGGAAUGAGAAAUUACUGAACAAAAGCAAACAGAAGUGAGACCAGCCCCAAUCCAACAUGAUUGGUGACCUUAUAAGAAGAGGAGAAGAGACAGAGGCAGACAUACAGAGUGGGAAGAUGAUCUGAAGAUUCACAAAUGGAAUGCAAUAUGACGACAGAAGCAGAGACUGGAGUGAUGUGUCCACAAGCCGAGGAUUGCCAGCAACACCAGAAGCGAAGAGAAAGGCAUGAAACAGAUUCUCCCCUACAGCCUUCCCAGAGAGGCGGGCCCCACCCACACCUUGAUUUCAGACUUCUAGUUUCCUAACUGUGAGAAAAUAAAUUUCUGUUGUUUUAAGUCACCCAGUGUGUGGUACCUUGUUACAACAGUCUUAGAAAACGAAUACAGACUCUACUAA
rnacentral:lncRNA from 10 species